GAGGAUGUAGCUCAAGUGGUAGAGUACUUGCUUAGCAUGCACAAGGUCCUGGGUUCAAUUCCCAGUAACUCCU
rnacentral:tRNA from 1 species